rnacentral:rRNA from 1 species
CACGUAGGGCGCGAGCGUUGUCCGGAAUUAUUGGGCGUAAAGAGCUCGUAGGCGGCCUGCUGCGUCCGCUGUGAAAGCCCGGGGCUUAACCCCGGGUCUGCAGUGGAUACGGGCAGGCUAGAGGUAGGUAGGGGAGAAUGGAAUUCCCGGUGUAGCGGUGAAAUGCGCAGAUAUCAGGAGGAACACCGGUGGCGAAGGCGGGUCUCUGGGCCGUUACUGACGCUGAGGAGCGAAAGCGUGGGGAGCGAACAGG